rfam:Angiostrongylus cantonensis strain Taiwan genome assembly, scaffold: ACAC_contig0012739
GCAUUGGUGGUUCAGUGGUAGAAUGCUCCCCUGCCACGCGGGCGACCCCGGUUCGAUUCCCGGCCAAUGCA